UAUCCUGUUCAGCCAGUGAAGAGAGUCUGA
rnacentral:piRNA from 1 species